UCCUCCCUGCCCACGAACCCCGGCCGCAGAUGCGGCGGAACGAACCGAUCCGGCUUCGACGGAGACGAGGGAGAUGGUGAACCGGCCUGAGCCCGGCCCAGUGGUAGAGGAGCCAAGGAAUCCUGCUCGGGCCGGGCCUGGAUGGGAGGUGGCGGCGGUUGCUGCUUCUGUGGCGGCGGUAGUUGGGGCUGGGCCUUGGGGGUAGGGCGGCUUAAUACGAGCAUUCCUCCAUGUGUUCGGGUGGCAGCGAGAUGCGAUUUGUAAGAAUUUGAUGGAGAUGAUGAAGAAGAAGAAGGGGCGGAGGUGGCAGUGGUGGCGGCGGUGGAAUGGGAGUUGUUGUGGAAGAGGUGAUUGAAAUUGAUGGAGGCGUAUUUGUUGGUUCUUGUUGCCAUCCACCACCACCGACGCGAAGGAAAAGAGAGAGAGAGUUGAGAGGAGGCACAAACUACGAAAGGAAAAGGCAACUAGGAUUUCAAAACCACGGUCUGGCCAUUUCUUGUAACAUAUAUGUUC
rnacentral:lncRNA from 1 species